rnacentral:rRNA from 1 species
UACGUAGGGGGCAAGCGUUGUCCGGAAUCAUUGGGCGUAAAGAGCGUGUAGGCGGCCCGAUAAGUCCGUCGUGAAAGUCCAGGGCUCAACCCUGGGAUGCCGGUGGAAACUGUCGGGCUAGAGUCCGGAAGAGGCGAGUGGAAUUCCUGGUGUAGCGGUGGAAUGCGCAGAUAUCAGGAGGAACACCAAUAGCGAAGGCAGCUCGCUGGGACGGUACUGACGCUAAGGCGCGAAAGCGUGGGGAGCGAACAGG